UAUGCUUCAUUGGUGUAGCCUACUGGCUUGACAUUUGAAAUGUCUUUUGCUUGCAAUUUUCCCAUCUUGCAGUGCAAACAGACAGGAAAUCUGGUCGACUUGUCGAUCUGAAAUACCCACUGAUUUCUGAUUUAACCAAUUCAAUUUGAAAGUCUUUUGGUGUAUUGAUUCCUGACCAGGGACUUGCUCUGAGAGGACUAUUCGUCAUUGACAAGGAGGGUGUGAUUCAGCACUCUACCAUUAAUAAUCUUGCUAUCGGCCGUAGCGUGGAUGAGACCUUGAGAACCCUUCAGCAUAGCUGUAAUCCUAUCAAUACUUUUCUUCGAUGACAAGCCCUGCAGUACGUACAAGAAAACCCGGAUGAGGUUUUCCCAGCUGGUUGGAAGCCUGGGGAGAAGUCAAUGAAGCCUGACCCUAAGCUCAGCAAGAGGUACUUUUGCUGCUAUUUCGACAUGUCCUUUGCACUGCUCUCAAGUUGUCAUUGCCUUCAUUGGGUUCUGCAUUGUUUGUGACUUGAGUUGUAGUUUUUGUGCAUACGAUUCUGUACCUCUGCUGCUCUUAGUGGAUCUGUUUUCC